CUCUCUCUCUCUCUCUCUCUCUCUCUCUCUCUCUCUCUCUCUCUCUCUCUCUCUCUCUCUCUCCUCCUCCUCCUCCUCCUCCUCCUCCGACGCUAGCUGCCCACACAAGCACGGUUACUUCAUCUCCUCCAACCACCUUCUCUUCCCGAUCCACCUUUUACCGCGCCUAAUCACCCGGUCCCCGGCGCCGUCUCCGUCGUCUCUUCUGCCGCAGCCCAACCUCGUCGUCCCACUCGCCGGCGCUGCCACCACCGCCUUCUCCCUCCUCUUCUUCCUCCUGGUCUGCUUCCGCAACUCCGACCACCUUCUCUUCCCGAUCCACCUUCUGCAGCGCCCAAUCACCCGGUCCCCGGCACCGUCGCCGUCGUCUCUUCUACCGCAGCCCAACCUCAUCGUCCCACUCGCCGGCGCCACCACCACCCCCUUCUCCCUCUUCUUCUUCCUCCUUGUCUGCUUCCGCAAAAUCACCUGCAACCGCACAGCCCCGGAAACCGGCUCUAAGCUGCCUCAUCGCUUCUCCUACUCCCCUGGAAGGGCGUUGCUUGCCGGCGUGCGCCGGGGUCGGUGGAGGAGGCCGGUGUGCUCACCGUCAGGGAAGGUGGGUGCCCAGAGAAGAAAUGUGGGUGCUCACCGUCGGGCCGGUUCCUCAGUUCUCUCCUCUCUGGUCAGUAACCAAAAUUAUUAGGGGUCAGUAACUGAAAACUAAGUGAUUAUUGGGUGUCAGUAACUGAAAACUAAGUGAUUACUGGAUGUUAGUAACUGAAAACUAAGUGAUUACUGAGUGUCAGUAACUGAAAACUAAGUGAUUACUGGGUGUCAGUAACUGAAAACUAAAAGUUAUUGGACGUCAGUAACUGGUUACUAGGUGUCAGUAAUUAAUCAAUAACUGGUUACUGAGGGUUAGUAACUGGUUAUUAUGGGUCAUUAACUGGUUAGUAACUGAUUAUUGGGGGUCAGUAACUGGUUACAGGGGAAAAUCCGGUGACCGAAAUCUGGUGGUCGGGGAAAAUGCGGUGACCGGAAUCCGACGGUGGGGAAAUUCCGGUGACCGGAAUCCGGCGGUCGGUUACUGGAGUCCGGUGUCCGGCGGCCGGUGACCGGAGUCCGAGGUUCCGGCCAAGUCUUUUCAUGUUGAAGAGGUGGGGGCAAAAUAGUCUUAAAAUAAUAUGGUUUGUUAAGAUUUUAGUAAAGAUUUGUGCAUUUGGGUAUAAAAAUGGUUACCCUAUAUUGGAAUGAGCUAAUGCAAAAGAUUAUCAUUGGAAUGGGAAAUAAGGGGUUUGAAUUAGUACUAAAUGGGCAUUUUCCCUAUAAUAAACACUUGGCAAUUCAGGAAGUUUAAAAAUUUAACCAUUAGGACAACAAUUGGUUUUAUUAAUAGUAGAUUUCUAAUAAAUAAUAAAUUAUUAGACAAAUUAAUUUAGAUAAGUCCUCAAUUUUUCCAGAGCCUCGGGUCAACAAAUUAAUUUAGAUAAGUCCCCAAUUUUGGAUUUCGUAAUGGCAAGAAUGUAAAGUUCUAGACCUUCAAUUGGGUCUAGGAAUUUCCUUUACUUAAUAUUCUGGAUUAUUCUAGUAGACAACAGAUUGAUUGAUAAUGGUUAUUAGAAUGUUUCUUAAUUUAAUGAGUUUCUUGAUAGAGACACUUUUAAUCCAAUUCUUGUAGUUAAUAUUGCUGUUAUGGAUGUUGAGGAUAAGUUUGUUUGGUGUCCAUCCCCGAAUAGAAAAUUUUUAGUGAAAAUAGUCACUUGGUUGCAAUAUAAAAGUCCUAAACACUCGAAGGCUGAUCAUUUAAUUAGAAUUUGGAGUUUGAAAAUUCCUCCUAAAGCUAAGAUUUUUGCUUGGCUUUUUAUGCGAGGUAGACUGAAAACCAGAGCUUACUUGGCUCGUUUUAUGAAUGGCAUUGACUCCGCAUGUGCACUUUAUGGCACUGCGGUAGAGGAUAUUAAUCAUUUGUUUAGGGCUUGUCCUUUUUCAGAAUCGGUUUGGAAUUUUGCUAGUAACUUGCAUCCUCCCUCCAGCUUUCCUAAUAUGGAGGUUUGAAUUGAUCAUAUCAUGGAUAAUGAGCCUCGCUCUGUGUUUAAAGAUUGGGUUCUAGUGUGUUGGUAGAUUUGGAAGUCUCGAAACAACAUUAUCUUCUAGUCUGCUCAGUCCACUCCCACCUUAGUAGUUCAUGUUGCAGCCUUUAUUUGUGCUUCCUACCGCAGUAUCAAUGUUCCCUCUCUUGUUUCAGCUUCACAAGCUGUCGACAUCAUCCAUUGGAUCCCUCCUGCUCCAAAAUGGGUGAAGCUUCAUUUUGAUGGCUCUGUUAUCUCAACCUCUGGUGCUGCUAAAUUUGUCAUUAGAGACUCUUUUGGGGUUCCUUUAGUGGUUGGUGCAUGUCGACUCCAUACUUCUAGUGUAUCAAUUGUUGAGUGUUAUGCCUUCAUAGAUUGUCUCGCUGCUGCUAAAAGGUUCUGUAACAUCCCGGACCUAAUUUUACCCCUUGUUACUGGGUAUUUUACGAGUUACUGAGGAAUUUAACCGUGUUCGUAAUUUGGUAAUUUAUCACUCGAGUUUAUUGUCGAGUUUUACUCAAAAUGUUAAAUUCCUCUUUUAAGCGCUUGAUAUUGUAGUAUGUGUCGACAUGGGUUCAACGGUGCCUUUAGAUGAUUUAUCGGAGGUUUGGUUAAGUAUAGAAAUUUUUUUUUUUCGGAAGCAAAUAAAGUUUAAUCCGGGCUGUCAUAUCUGUUAGGGCUUUGAACUGGGCCGUAGAAUUUAAGCUUAAAAGGGUAAAGUGGAGCUUGACCCAGUCAAAAACCCAACUUGGGUUUGACCGAGCCUGACCGUCUCCCUCUCUCUUCUCCCUCGUCUCCCUCUGUCGCUGCCUUCUCCAGCGCAGCACCGCCGUCUCUGGCCACCCCUGGCGGCGAGACCACCGCCGUUCUCUCCCUCUCCUCCUCUCCUUUCUAGCCCAGCUCGUGGAUCACGCAAGCGAACCGAAUCAGUGGAGAUCGAAGCUGUCGAACCCGAUUGUGUUCGUCGGAUUCCGGCCAGCUCAGGCAGCGACGACGGCAACGAACGCGAGCUGCUGCGGUGGUUGCCAAUGAGUUUUUCUGACAUCUUCCUUUUGCUUUCCGACGUUGUUUCGACCACAAGUGAUCAAGGCGAGCACGAAAGGGGGAGGGGCCAGGUGUGGUUGCUGCUGUGUUGGAGGAGUUGAUGGACUCAGGUGGGGUUGGUUGUAGUGAUAGCUGCGGUUAGGGUUUGAAAAGAAGCCCAGUUUCCGGCAAGCAGAAGAUUGCUGGGUUCUGGUGGUGAGCAGAUUAGAGGUAAGGGCUUCGUUUGAUCGGCUGUGUUGUUGUUAUGUUGGAUCGUGACUGAUUCUAUGUUUUGGUUGCAAGGAUGUCGAUAACUUGGAAUUUGGAGUAUAUGGGGAAGUUAUGGCAAAAUUCCGGCAAGUGGCCGGAAUCCGGCAGAAUAUUCCGGCAAGUCAUCAGAAUCCGGCGAAGGCAGUUGUCUGACAGAAGCAGUUGAGGUAGUUAUCGNNN
rnacentral:lncRNA from 1 species